rnacentral:rRNA from 1 species
AACGAACGCUGGCGGCAGGCUUAACACAUGCAAGUCGAGCGCCCCGCAAGGGGAGCGGCAGACGGGUGAGUAACGCGUGGGAAUCUACCCAUCCCUACGGAACAACUCCGGGAAACUGGAGCUAAUACCGUAUACGCCCUACGGGGGAAAGAUUUAUCGGGGAUGGAUGAGCCCGCGUUGGAUUAGCUAGUUGGUGGGGUAAUGGCCUACCAAGGCGACGAUCCAUAGCUGGUCUGAGAGGAUGAUCAGCCACAUUGGGACUGAGACACGGCCCAAACUCCUACGGGAGGCAGCAGUGGGGAAUAUUGGACAAUGGGCGCAAGCCUGAUCCAGCCAUGCCGCGUGGGUGAAGAAGGCCUUAGGGUUGUAAACCCCUUUCAGCGGGGAAGAUAAUGACGGUACCCGCAGAAGAAGUCCCGGCUAACUCCGUGCCAGCCGCCGCAGUAAUAC